rnacentral:rRNA from 1 species
AACGAACGCUGGCGGCAGGCUUAACACAUGCAAGUCGAACGCCCCGCCAGGGGAGUGGCAGACGGGUGAGUAACGCGUGGGAACGUGCCCUUCGCUUCGGAAUAUUCCCGGGACACUGGGAGCAAUGCCGGAUACGCCGAAUUGGGCAAGGUUUAUCGGCGAAGGAUAGGCCCGCGUUAGAUUAGGUAGUUGGUGGGGUAAUGGCCUACCAAGCCUACGAUCUAUAGCUGGUCUGAGAGGAUGAUCAGCCACACUGUGACUGAGACACGGCCCAGACUCCUACGGGUGGCAGCAGCGGGGAAGCUUGGACAAUGGGCGCAAGACUGAUCCAGCCAUGCCGCGUGAGUGAAGAAGGCCUUAGGGUUGUAAAACUCUUGCGCCGGUGAAGAUAAUGACAGUAGCCGGAGAAGAAGCCCCGGCUAACGUCGUGCCAGCCGCCGCUGUAAGAC